UGGGCUGCCAGCGUGGGGAGGCAGCGACAGCUGGCACAGAGCCUGCUUCGGAGGGACAAAGGCCACAGAAGCUUUUACAACUCCCAGGUCUAGGCCCUUCUCUCUUUUCUUCUCACAGAGGGCCAAUUCUGAUUUCUUGACGUCACCUUGGGACCUAGCCGCUCUGGAUCAGUUACAGAAGGAGCAAGGGGAAGCCACCGGAGCGGAAUAUUCAGGAAACUAACUUGAGUGCGCCUAACAGCCUUCCACUGUGAGCUUAUGGACGGCCUGCUUUUCAGCCUUUUCAGCCCUUCCCAAACUACGGUGAAUAGAGAUAGUUACCGUCCUCACUUCGCAAUGCGGUCAACAUCUAAAGUAAACCGAAGCAGCAAGUCUGCAUUUUCCUGUUCUGCUACUGUGCUUCGCCGUUUUUGUUUGUUUCCUAUGGCUGCUGGCAGUGAGUCCUGAGUGACACCCUAGUACCCUGAAGGCAAACUGCAAGCCAGGACAGCAAGAAUCUUUCCUGCCAGCCGCGGGGUCACUCUGCUCCUGCUCUCUCGCAACGCUUGAGAUCUCAUCCUGACUUCAUGAAUGCUCCUCAAGCACUCUACCAACUGAGCGACAGCCCCGGCCUUCUGUAACUCCUCUAGCCUCGCUUUCACAUCUCAGAAUGUGAUAAAGAAAGAAAGCACCAUCGCGGCCCCCCGCAGUGAGGAGCCAGCAGCGGCGGCUACUGUGUUAAAGCCCUUCGCUCACAGCGGACCGUCACAGACAGCGAGCGAGAGAAACAAGUGCCUCAACGAGCUACAGAGUCCUGGCGUUGGCUUUCUAUCCGUGAAAUCGGCCGGUUGUGCUGGAAAGCCCUCCUGCCGCCUCUAAGACCGCGUCUCUAGGAGACUGGCUGAGAAGAGGGCGAGGCGAGCACAACUGUAGCUGGCAGUUGGAUUCACGUGUCCUGCUAAGAUCUAGCCCCUGAAGUGCCUUAUCCUAGAAGAUUAAAGCGCCGUGCCAGUUUCAGCCCGGGCUGGAGGACCGCAGGGCGCCCGGGUGGCAAGGGGAGGAGACUCUCGCACAGCGGCGAAAGGGCACAAGUGCUCAAGCCCUAGUGCCCGGGGGUUGAGGGUGGGGUGCUCCGAGGACGCCCUGAUACCACCUUUGCGGCAUGAACAUCACUCACCA